rnacentral:rRNA from 1 species
AGGACGAACGCUGGCGGCGUGCCUAAUACAUGCAAGUCGAACGGUCUUUCUAUGGAAGCUUGCUUCCACUGAGAAGAUAGUGGCGAACGGGUGAGGUAACACGUGGGGUAACCUGCCCAUAAGAGGGGGGAUAACAUCCGGAAACGGGUGCUAAUACCGCAUAGUUUUCUUGAUCGCAUGAUUGAGAAAGGAAAGACGGCCUUUGUGCUGUCGCUUAUGGAUGGACCCGCGGCGUAUUAGUUAGUUGGUGAGGUAACGGCUCACCAAGACGAUGAUACGUAGCCGACCUGAGAGGGUGAUCGGCCACAUUGGGACUGAGACACGGCCCAAACUCCUACGGGAGGCAGCAGUAGGGAAUCUUCCGCAAUGGACGAAAGUCUGACGGAGCAACGCCGCGUGAGUGAAGAAAAGGUUUUCGGAUCGUAAAACUCUGUUGUCAGAGAAGAACAAGUUGGAGAGUAACUGCUCCAGCCUUGACGGUAUCUGACCAGAAAGCCACGGCUAACUACGUGCCAGCAGCGGC